rnacentral:rRNA from 1 species
UACGUAGGGUGCGAGCGUUGUCCGGAAUUAUUGGGCGUAAAGAGCUCGUAGGCGGUCUGUCGCGUCGGAUGUGAAAGCCCGGGGCUUAACUCCGGGUCUGCAUUCGAUACGGGCAGACUAGAGGUGUGGUAGGGGAGAUCGGAAUUCCUGGUGGUAGCGGUGAAAUGCGCAGGAUAUCAAGGAGGAACACCGGUGGCGAAGGCGGAUCUCUGGGCCAUUACUGACGCUGGAGGAGCGAAAGCGUGGGGAGCGAACAGG